rnacentral:rRNA from 1 species
GAUGAACGCUGACAGAAUGCUUAACACAUGCAAGUCAACUUGAAUUUGGGUUUUUAACUUAGGUUUGGGUGGCGGACGGGUGAGUAACGCGUAAAGAACUUGCCUCACAGCUAGGAACAACAUUUGGAAACGAAUGCUAAUACCUAAUAUUAUGAUAAUAGGGCAUCCUAUAAUUAUGAAAGCUAUAAGCGCUGUGAGAGAGCUUUGCGUCCCAUUAGCUAGUUGGAGAGGUAACGGCUCACCAAGGCGAUGAUGGGUAGCCGGCCUGAGAGGGUGAUCGGCCACAAGGGGACUGAGACACGGCCCUUACUCCUACGGGAGGCAGCAGUGGGGAAUAUUGGACAAUGGACCGAGAGUCUGAUCCAGCAAUUCUGUGUGCACGAUGAAGUUUUUCGGAAUGUAAAGUGCUUUCAGUUGGGAAGAAACAAAUGACGGUACCAACAGAAGAAGUGACGGCUAAAUACGUG